GACGAACGCUGGCGGCGUGCUUAACACAUGCAAGUCGAACGAAGAGCGAUGGAAGCUUGCUUCUAUCAAUCUUAGUGGCGAACGGGUGAGUAACGCGUAAUCAACCUGCCCUUCAGAGGGGGACAACAGUUGGAAACGACUGCUAAUACCGCAUACGAUCUAAACUCGGCAUCGAGGAUAGAUGAAAGGUGGCCUCUACAUGUAAGCUAUCACUGAAGGAGGGGAUUGCGUCUGAUUAGCUAGUUGGAGGGGUAACGGCCCACCAAGGCGAUGAUCAGUAGCCGGGCUGGGGGGAUGAACGGCCACAUUGGGACUGAGACACGGCCCAGACUCCUACGGGAAGCAGCAGUGGGGAAUCUUCCGCAAAGGACGAAAGUCUGACGGAGCAACGCCGCGUGAGGGAUGACGGCCUUCGGGUUGUAAAGCUCUGUUAAUCGGGACGGAAGGCCUUCUUGCGAAUAGUGAGAAGGAUUGACGGUACCGGAAUAGAAAGCCACGGCUAACUACGUG
rnacentral:rRNA from 1 species